rnacentral:tRNA from 1 species
AGAAUAAUAGUUUAAUAAAAAUAUUUAAAUUGCAAUUAAAAGAUAUUUCAAUAAUUUAUUUUA